rnacentral:rRNA from 1 species
UACGGAGGAUGCAAGCGUUAUCCGGAAUGAUUGGGCGUAAAGCGUCCGCAGGUGGCUGUGUAAGUCUGCUGUUAAAGAGUGAGGCUCAACCUCAUAAAAGCAGUGGAAACUACACGGCUAGAGUGCGUUCGGGGCAGAGGGAAUUCCCAGUGUAGAGGUGAAAUUCGUAGAUAUUGGGAAGAACACCGGUGGCGAAGGCGGCUCUCUGGACCGAGACUGACGCUGAGGCGCGAAAGCGUGGGGAGCAAACAGG